CAUGGCUCAGAAUGAACGCUGGCGGCAGGCCUAACACAUGCAAGUCGAACGGAUCCUUCGGGAUUAGUGGCGGACGGGUGAGUAACGCGUGGGAACAUACCCAAAGGUACGGAAUAGCCUCGGGAAACUGGGAGUAAUACCGUAUGUGCCCUUCGGGGGAAAGAUUUAUCGCCUUUGGAUUGGCCCGCGUUGGAUUAGGUAGUUGGUGGGGUAAUGGCCUACCAAGCCGACGAUCCAUAGCUGGUUUGAGAGGAUGAUCAGCCACACUGGGACUGAGACACGGCCCAGACUCCUACGGGAGGCAGCAGUGGGGAAUCUUAGACAAUGGGGGAAACCCUGAUCUAGCCAUGCCGCGUGAUCGAUGAAGGCCUUAGGGUUGUAAAGAUCUUUCAGUUGGGAAGAUAAUGACUGUACCAACAGAAGAAGCCCCGGCUAAUC
rnacentral:rRNA from 1 species